rnacentral:piRNA from 1 species
UCCAUGAACAGUAUUCAUAUUCCUAUGG